AUGACUUUGAUCUGCGUCCUCAUCUGGACUCUCCUCUGCUGCUGCUUCUCAGAGUCCAGAGGUCAGGUCACAGUGACUCAGCCUGCAGCAGUGAGAGCUGAUCUGGGAGGAUCUUUUACCAUCAACUGUAGAACCAGUCAGAAUGUUUAUGGUUCUAACCUUUUAGCCUGGUACCAACAGAAAAAUGGAGGAACUCCCAAGCUGCUCUUUUACAAUGUUGGCAACCGAGUCUCAGGCACUCCAAAUCGGUUUAAAGAUGGUGGAUCAAACUCUGACUUCACUCUGACCGUCAGUGAAGUUCAGGUUGAAGAUGCUGCAGUUUACUACUGUCAGAGUUCUCAUCUCAUCAACAGUCAGUGGGUGUUCACACAGUGA